AUUGAACGCUGGCGGCAGGCUUAACACAUGCAAGUCGAACGAGUGGCGGACGGGUGAGUAAUGCUUGGGAAUCUGGCUUAUGGAGGGGGAUAACGACGGGGAACUGUCGCUAAUACCGCGUACCAUAGGAUGGGCCCAAGUGGGAUUAGGUAGUGGGUGGGGUAAUGGACUACCAACCCGAAGAUCUCUAGCUGGUCUGAGAGGUUUACCAGCCACCCCGGGACUGAGUCCAGGCCCGGACUCCUACGGGAGGCAGCAGGGGGGAAUAUUUCUCAAUGGGGGCAACCUGACGCAGCCAUGCCGCGUGAAUGAAGAAGGCCUUCGGGUUGUAAAGUUCUUUCGGUGACGAGGCGUUAAUCACAGAAGAAGCACCGACUAACUCCGUGCCAGCCGCCGCGGUAAUAC
rnacentral:rRNA from 1 species